AUAAAAUAUGUAAUUUGUAGAGAGUUAUAACGAAGCUUCGUUAUAUGGAAACCCGGAAUUAGUAUUACAAAUACGUUAUCAUAUACUUUUCAUUUCCACAUACAUCUAUCUCUUAAAUAAAUUGAUGGUGUUGGAAACACUCAUCAUAUGCAAAUUAUUCCACUAAUUCCACUAAUUCCACUAAACACUCUUUACACUCAUCAUUGCCGGCCAUCUUCUACACUCAUUCCACUAAAUAAUCAUUAUUCCACUACCUCCCCACUACUACACCCUUUUUCCCCACCAAUACACCUAACUCUCCACACACUUCAUUUUUUUUAUUUCUCCACCACUACAUUCCAUAUUCAGCACUACAUCUUGCAGAUUCCUCAUUAAGAAAUCCUCUCUCUCUAAUCUUCUAAAUUACCAUUUUCUUUCCUCCUACUCCUCACGGGUCCUUCAAAGAAAUUAUCAAGUUUGUUUCAAGUUCCAAAUCAAGAAUCAAGAAGCCACAAAUCCUCAUCUGCCUCUUCAAGGUCCGGGCGACAGAAAGUGAAGCAGAAGAAGAAACGACUCCACGCCAGCUUUAAGAACAAUUGAGGUUGAGCAGGCGAUGGAAUGGAUCGGUGUUGAGCGGAUUUCCCUUUUGAUGUUUAUGUAAUGAAACCUUGAGUAUGCAUCUCCAUAUGCAUAACUCACACGUUUUUCCGCUGCAAACACUCUGAAUUUGUUAUCGUAUUGUGGAACUUAUUACUCCUUCAUUUUGUUUAACUUUCAUUUGGGGUUUAGUCGUUAUGGCUGGCUCAUUUGUUAAUUACCCAAGUGGUUAUAUAUAUAUAUAUAUAUAUAUAUAUAUAUAUACCACUAGUUUGUUGUUAUUAAUGUUGGUUAUUUAGUAAAUCCCUUUUAAAUUUCCAUUUCUUAUUGUUCACCCAAGUCAUAACCCCGGUUAACCCGUCAUUGGGAUAGUGGGCUGUGACAGAGUGGUAUCAGAGCAGUUCGUUUGCUCUGGCCCUAGAAACCUUAUUCUAAAAAAAAGCCAAGUCUAGUUUGAUUCACUAGACAUACGUGGGUUAAUACGACACCGCUCAACACUCCAUUGCAUCGUGCUCAAUCAAGGAAAAAGGUAACUGCAGUUACAGCGUUUUAAAGAUGUUAUUGUUCUAAACUGUUUCAUGAAAAUGUUUAUGUAAAGAGCAUGCUAUGAUGAAUUAUUGAAUGUUUUGCCUUUCAUUGAAAUGUUGAAUGUUUUGCCUUUCAUGGCAUAUCAUUGC